AGCCGUGCGAUAAGCACAUAGCGAACUAUUCUUUCGCCUUUUACUAAAGAAUACCGUGUGUUUGUCGCACCAAACGGCAUACGCCUAUUUUUGGAGGGUUGUCUCAUUUGAGAUCA
rnacentral:snRNA from 1 species